UGGGGAAUAUUGCACAAUGGGCGCAAGCCUGAUGCAGCAACGCCGCGUGAGGGACGACGGCCUUCGGGUUGUAAACCUCUUUUGGCAGGGAAGAAGCGAAAGUGACGGUACCUGCAGAAAAAGCACCGGCUAACUACGUGCCAGCAGCCGCGGUGAUACGUAGGGUGCAAGGGUUGUCCGGAAUUAUUGGGCGUAAAGAGCUCGUAGGCGGUUUGUCGCGUCUGCUGUGAAAACCCGAGGCUCAACCUCGGGCCUGCAGUGGGUACGGGCAAACUAGAGUGCGGUAGGGGAGAUUGGAAUUCCUGGUGUAGCGGUGGAAUGCGCAGAUAUCAGGGGGAACACCGAUGGCGAAGGCAGGUCUCUGGGCCACUACUGACGCUGAGAAGCGAAAGCGUGGGGAGCGAACA
rnacentral:rRNA from 1 species